rnacentral:rRNA from 1 species
GUGGGGAAUCUUGCGCAAUGGGCGAAAGCCUGACGCAGCCAUGCCGCGUGAAUGAUGAAGGUCUUAGGAUUGUAAAAUUCUUUCACCGGGGACGAUAAUGACGGUACCCGGAGAAGAAGCUCCGGCUAACUUCGUGCCAGCAGCCGCGGUAAGACGAAGGGGGCUAGCGUUGCUCGGAAUUACUGGGCGUAAAGGGCGCGUAGGCGGACAGCUUAGUCAGAGGUGAAAGCCCAGGGCUCAACCUUGGAAUGGCCUUUGAGACGGGCUGUCUUGAUGUUGAGAAGGGUGAGUGGAACUCCGAGUGUAGAGGUGAAAGUCGUAGAUAUUCGGAAGACCACCAGUGGCGAGGGCGACUCACUGGCCCAAUACUGACGCUGAGGCGCGAAAGCGUGGGGAGCAAACAGGAUUAGAUACCCUGGUAGUCC